GACACGGUGGCCUAACGGUUAGCGUGUUGGACUCCGGAUCGAGCGGUCCAUGCUCGAGCACUGGCUGCGGUCA